rnacentral:rRNA from 1 species
GUGGGGAAUUUUGCGCAAUGGGCGAAAGCCUGACGCAGCGACGCCGCGUGAGGGACGAAGGUCCUCGUGAUUGUAAACCUCUGUCAGGAAGGAUUAAAGGCGCGGAUGCUAAUACCAUUCGCGCUUGACUUAACUUCCAGAGGAAGCCCCGGCUAACUACGUGCCAGCAGCCGCGGUAAAACGUAGGGGGCAAGCGUUACUCGGAUUUACUGGGCGUAAAGCGAGUUAAGGUGGUUGGGUAAGUCAGAGGUGAAAUCCCUCGGCUCAACUGAGGAAUUGCCUUUGAUACUGCCUGACUUGAGGACAGGAGAGGAAAGUGGAAUUCCCGGUGUAGCGGUGGAAUGCGUAGAUAUCGGGAGGAACACCAGAGGCGAAGGCGGCUUUCUGGACUGCUCCUGACACUGAUACUCGAAAGCUAGGGGAGCAAACAGGAUUAGAAACCCUUGUAGUCC